UUGGUGAAUCAUAAUAACUUAACGAAUCGCAUGGCCUUGCGCCGGCGAUGGUUCAUUCAAAUUUCUGCCCUAUCAACUUUCGAUGGUAGGAUAGUGGCCUACCAUGGUGGCAACGGGUAACGGGGAAUUAGGGUUCGAUUCCGGAGAGGGAGCCUGAGAAACGGCUACCACAUCCAAGGAAGGCAGCAGGCGCGCAAAUUACCCAAUCCCGAUACGGGGAGGUAGUGACAAUAAAUACUGAUACGGGGCUCUUUUGGGUCUCGUAAUUGGAAUGAGAACAAUUUAAAUCCCUUAACGAGGAACAAUUGGAGGGCAAGUCUGGUGCCAGCAGCCGCGGUAAUUCCAGCUCCAAUAGCGUAUAUUAAAGUUGUUGCAGUUAAAAAGCUCGUAGUUGAACCUUGGGUCUGGCUGGUCGGUCCGCCUCACCGCGAGUACUGAUCCGGCUGGACCUUUCCUUCUGGGGAACCUCAUGGCCUUCACUGGCUGUGGGGGGAACCAGGACUUUUACUGUGAAAAAAUUAGAGUGUUCAAAGCAGGCCUUUGCUCGAAUACAUUAGCAUGGAAUAAUAGAAUAGGACGUGUGGUUCUAUUUUGUUGGUUUCUAGGACCGCCGUAAUGAUUAAUAGGGAUAGUCGGGGGCGUCAGUAUUCAGCUGUCAGAGGUGAAAUUCUUGGAUUUGCUGAAGACUAACUACUGCGAAAGCAUUCGCCAAGGAUGUUUUCAUUAAUCAG
rnacentral:rRNA from 1 species